CAAGUCCAUCACGAUGAAGGAGUAGCGAACCGCCCCGAGUCAUGCGCCAGUACCUGUGAGGGUAUUGGCGAAGCGUUGACAGGGGAGCGCACAGGCCAGCCAUUGAGCCGCGAAAGUACCCUCAUUCUGGGUGCCGACGUCGUUCCGGUGACGGAAGGCAACACGGAUGAAGGAGGCGACGCGCAUCAUUAAGAAUGCCCGCUUCGACGCGACGAGCA
rnacentral:ncRNA from 1 species